AUGUACACCGAAGAGGAGGCAAAAGAAGCACGAGAAGACGACGUCGAUCUGCUGGAAGAGGGCUGGCUGUUGGCACUCAACCGGUCCACCAUCUACCAGCAGAGCCUGCGCCAAUACUACAAUCGGAAGGUCAAGCCAAGAUCCUUCCAAGAGGGAGACCUUGUGCUCCGGCUGAUCCAGCGAACAGCCGGCCAGCACAAGCUCUCGACACCUUGGGAAGGCCCCUUCAUCGUCAGCAAGGUGUUGGGCAAUGACUCCUACUACCUAAUCGAUGCUCAGAAGCCUCGAGCACGCAAAAGAGACGACUCCGGCAAGGAGACGGAGCGACCAUGGAAUGCAAACCUCCUCCGAAGGUUUUAUAGUUGA
rnacentral:rRNA from 1 species